GGGGGAAGAAUGUAAUACCCGGCUAGACUCCGGUAUCGGAAUUCCUACCGUCCGGUGGAAUCUCAGGUGUCAGAAACCUCUAGAAGGGUAAAACUAUGUUUUCAUAAAAUGUUUUAAUGUGUUUUAUGUUUUAAGCAUGAAAGAAAAUGAGUUUUUUUUUGCAUGAAAACAACCUUGGAGGAAAACUCAGGUUCGGCCGCCGAACCUCAAGUUCGGCCGCCGAAC
rnacentral:lncRNA from 1 species